UACGUUCAUCUUAUGGGCAUUCUAUUUUACCUAUCUCUACUCGCUAGCCACGAACCAGUUCAUUGGACUAUUCGUUGCGAAAGGUGGAUGGAACUAGCUUAUGAAGUCAAACAAGAUCCUUAUCUUGAUGCGGAAUCUAAGUUAGGUUUGAUCAACUACUUUAAAACUAAAGUAGAUGAAACAUGUAUUGUAGGAGAAACAUAGGACGCAAGUAUGUGGUAUUACCACAGAAGGAACGGGAU
rnacentral:ncRNA from 20 species